CAUAACUGCUAUAUCUCUCAUAUUCUCUCAAAUUUUCAUCCAAAUUUCUCCUUCCUUCUAGAAAUCUUUCCCUUAUUGUUUUCUAAUCUAAAUCAUCAUUAAAUAUCUCUAUUCUCCAAAGCUACUUGGAAAAAGGUGAGUUAUUUGUUUUUUGGCUAUUUCUUUUCAUUAUGUGCAUUUUUUUAUUGCAUUUUUGUUGAAGAAAAUUAUUGUUGAUGUUAGAUUUGUUAUUAAAUUUAUAGUUUGAAGGAUUAGUUUAAUGCUAAUUAUGUCAAAAAUGAUAGAUUUAAUAUCUUUAUUUGAUAUAUUUAUAUUUGUUAUUUAGCUGUGUUUAUUAGUUUUAUUUAAUGAACUACACAAAUUUUUCAAAAAAAAAUUUGUGUAGCGAUGGGCUUGUUUUCAUUAUCUGUGACCACGAUUUAAAUCCAUAGGCUAACUAGAAGGUGAGAGUUGUAAUCAGAGUAUCUUCAAGAGUUGUUUCUUUAAUAAUAUCCCCUUCAAGGUUGGAAUGUCUCCCUUGAAUAGGAUGAAGCUAUAAUUUGGUUUUUCAAGCGUUUAUUCUCUUAAAGCAAAUGAGUUGUUUUAUCCAUUUUAUUUUUUGCUUCCAACCAAGUAGGAAAUCUUCUGUUUUGGCCUGUCAGUGUCCUGGACAUGAGAUUGUUAUCUGCUGAUUACUUAUUUCUUUGUCAUCCCCAUUCAUCCCUUUACCCCAUACAGGAAAAGCAAUGUGGUAAAACAUGCAAAAUCACACCCACAAACUCCAACCCAAAAAUGCACUUGGGCAAAAUUUUACCCCCUUAUUUUCUCAAUGUAAUCUUACCUCUUCUAUGUUAAUAUUUCAUCCUACAUUAGGCGUGAACUGUCAGUGCCCCUUUAUGCCAAACACAAUUUGAGAAGGGGUGAAAUAAUGUAUGUUAUCAUGCAACACUUCACCUUGAGCACCAUGUCUAAUAAACCCUUAUAGGGAAAAUCUUCAAAGGACUGUUGGUAAUCACACAUCCUCUGUUGAUGAUAAAAAUAUUGUUCCUGUUUCCCCCAACUCCUGGAGAGGAAGAUUAUCUUACUCGCAUUUGAUAAGCUAGCAUGAUAAUGGUAGUUGUUUGAUUGAUGAUAACUUAACAGGGAUGUAUUUAAAACUUUGCGCUUGAAUUCUUGUGCCAUGGUGAAUUUUCAUUUUCACUGUCAAUAUAUUCGUGCAUUUUAGGACAGCAAUACCUUAAUUUGUGCUUUAAUAAACAUCUUUGUCAUCAUUUUAUUAGUAUGCUUAUGUUUGUAAUAUCAUCAUUAAAUCUUUGGGCUCCAUGUAGAUAUGGGUGUUGAGAGGUGCGUU
rnacentral:misc_RNA from 1 species